ACUUCCGGAAGGAACGCUACUUCCUGAUGAAAAGCCGAAAAGCCCGCUCAACUCCCUCGCAAAUUAACAGAUGCAACGGCGAACAUCACGUACAAUCCAGUGACACAUCAUGUGACAUGGCUCCAUCAUUAAAUCGAAAAUUGCUGUCAAUGAUUGAAGGACGUCAAACAAAGAGGAAGAAAUUGAAGUUGAUUAAAUGGCUCCAGAAAAAAAAAAAUUGCUUAAAGCUAAAAUGAAGUGCAAUUUAUGCCAACAUAAAAUGAAGCUGACUCAUAAACCCAACAAAGCAGACAACUAUGUUUGGUCCUGUACACGAAACAGACAUAAGGGAAGGUUCAAGUCAGUGAGGUAUGGAUCACUUUUUGCCAAGUCAAAGUGUAAUUUAUUCUCAUGGAUGAAGUUCAUAUAUCGGCCUUCAGUUGAGACAAAUCGACAUGAUUGAAGAUGGCAUUGCUGGAAGCUCACGUACACUCAGCAGCAUGGCCAAAAAAGUUCGAGCUAUUUGUAAAGAAUCCAUGAAGUUGUAUGCCAGAAGGAAGGGCCAAAUGAUAGGACAACCCAGGGAGUUUGUUAUGAUUGAUGAG